rnacentral:rRNA from 11 species
UUAACAAGGUUUCCGUAGGUGAACCUGCGGAAGGAUCAUUA